GUGUUUGUGGAGCCUUACCUUAGCUAUUGUAGACAUUUAUGCUCUCUUAGUGAUGCGCUCCUUGCAGAAUUAUCAAGUUGUCAGCCUGUUUGCUGUUGGUGAUGGGAUCACAUCCACUCUUACAUUUGCUGCAGCUUGUGCUUCUGCUGGCAUCAGAGUCCUUAUUGAUAAUGAUCUUGAUAGCUGUUCUCAGAAUCAUUGCGUGCAGUUUGAAACUGCUACAGCCAUGGC
rnacentral:misc_RNA from 1 species